UUAGUUUAUUUAACUAUUUUUCAGAUAUAACAUGGUUAAAAGAAUUUGUGGAGGGGCUGUUGGCAGGCACUGGCCAGAGGUUAAACCCUCCGGCGGUCCGGUUAGAGACGGGCCCGCCAAAGCAACAUGGUAGUUAAACAAAGGGUUGGAGAUCGGGCCUGGAAGACCCUAACUCAUUAAUGAUCCUUCCGCAGGUUCACCUACGGAAA
rnacentral:misc_RNA from 1 species